ACUCCUGGCAAGUCAAUAGAAUUAUCGUCUCCGAUUAUAGAUA
rnacentral:misc_RNA from 1 species